rnacentral:rRNA from 1 species
UACGGAAGGCAGCAGGGGGAAUAUUGCACAAUGGGCGCAAGCCUGAUGCAGCCAUGCCGCGUGUAUGAAGAAGGCCUUCGGGUUGUAAAGUACUUUCAGUCGUGAGGAAGGUGUUAAGGUUAAUAACCUUAGCAAUUGACGUUAGCGACAGAAGAAGCACCGGCUAACUCCGUGCCAGCAGCCGCGGUAAUACGGAGGGUGCGAGCGUUAAUCGGAAUUACUGGGCGUAAAGGGCACGCAGGCGGUUAAUUAAGUUGGAUGUGAAAUCCCCGGGCUUAACCUGGGAGUGGCAUUCAAGACUGGUUAGCUAGAGUCUUGUAGAGGGGGUAGAAUUCCAUGUGUAGCGGUGAAAUGCGUAGAGAUGUGGAGGAAUACCGGUGGCGAAGGCGGCCCCUGGACAAAGACUGACGCUCAUGUGCGAAAGCGUGGGGAGCAAACAGGGAUUAGAUACC